rnacentral:rRNA from 1 species
AUUGAACGCUGGCGGCAGGCUUAACACAUGCAAGUCGAGCGGAGAGAGGUAGCUUGCUACUGAUCUUAGCGGCGGACGGGUGAGUAAUGCUUAGGAAUCUGCCUAUUAGUGGGGGACAACAUUUCGAAAGGAAUGCUAAUACCGCAUACGUCCUACGGGAGAAAGCAGGGGAUCUUCGGACCUUGCGCUAAUAGAUGAGCCUAAGUCGGAUUAGCUAGUUGGUGGGGUAAAGGCCUACCAAGGCGACGAUCUGUAGCGGGUCUGAGAGGAUGAUCCGCCAAACUGGGACUGAGACACGGUCCAGACUCCUACGGGAGGCAGCAGUGGGGAAUAUUGGACAAUGGGCGAAAGCCUGAUCCAGCCAUGCCGCGUGUGUGAAGAAGGUCUUCGGAUUGUAAAGCACUUUAAGUUGGGAGGAAGGGCAGUAAGCUAAUACCUUGCUGUUUUGACGUUACCGACAGAAUAAGCACCGGCUAACUCUGUGCCAGCCGCCGCCGUAA